AAGUACUUCGGUACAUCGGUGACAGGUGGUGCAUGGUUGUCGUCAGCUCGUGUCGUGAGAUGUUGGGUUAAGUCCCGCAACGAGCGCAACCCCUACGUUUAGUUGCUAACGCGUGAAGGCGAGCACUCUAGACGAACUGCCGUUGACAAAACGGAGGAAGUGGGAUGACGUCAAAUCAUCAUGCCCCUUAUGUUCUGGGCUACACACGUGCUACAAUGGCCGGUACAGACGGACGCAAAGCCGCGAGGUGGAGCAAAUCCUUAAAGCUGGUCUCAGUUCGGAUUGCAGGCUGCAACUCGCCUGCAUGAAGUCGGAGUUGCUAAGUAACCGCGCGUCAGCCAUAGUGCGGUGAAUACGUUCCCGGGCCUU
rnacentral:rRNA from 1 species